rnacentral:rRNA from 1 species
AUUGAACGCUGGCGGCAUGCUUUACACAUGCAAGUCGAACGGUAACAGGCCGCAAGGUGCUGACGAGUGGCGAACGGGUGAGUAAUGCAUCGGAACGUGCCCAGUAGUGGGGGAUAGCCCGGCGAAAGCCGGAUUAAUACCGCAUACGACCUGAGGGUGAAAGGGGGGGAUCGCAAGACCUCUCGCUAUUGGAGCGGCCGAUGUCAGAUUAGCUAGUUGGUGGGGUAAAGGCCUACCAAGGCAACGAUCUGUAGUUGGUCUGAGAGGACGACCAGCCACACUGGAACUGAGACACGGCCCAGACGCCUACGGGAGGCAGCAGUGGGGAAUUUUGGACAAUGGGCGCAAGCCUGAUCCAGCAAUGCCGCGUGCAGGAAGAAGGCCUUCGGGUUGUAAACUGCUUUUGUCAGGGAAGAAAUCUUCUGGGUUAAUACCUCGGGAGGAUGACGGUACCUGAAGAAUAAGCACCGGCUAACUACGUGCCAGCCGCCGCCGUAAGAC